rnacentral:rRNA from 1 species
UGGGGAAUAUUGCACAAUGGACGGAAGUCUGAUGCAGCAACGCCGCGUGCGGGAUGACGGCCUUCGGGUUGUAAACCGCUUUUUCUCAUGACGAAGUUUUUUGACGGUAGUGGGGGAAGAAGCACCGGCUAACUACGUGCCAGCAGCCGCGGUGAUACGUAGGGUGCGAGCGUUGUCCGGAAUUAUUGGGCGUAAAGAGCUUGUAGGCGGUUUGUCGCGUCGAUAGUGCAAACUCAGUGCUUAACGCUGAGCCUGCUGUUGAUACGGGCAGACUUGACGAAGGUAGGCGAGAAUCGAAUUCCCGGUGGAGCGGUGGAAUGCGCAGAUAUCGCGAGGAACACCGGUGGCGAAGGCUGUUCUCUGGGCCUUUCCUGACGCUGAGACGCGAAAGCGUGGGGAGCGAACAGG